rnacentral:rRNA from 1 species
CAGCCGCCACGGUAAUACGUAGGGUGCGAGCGUUAAUCGGAAUUACUGGGCGUAAAGCGUGCGCAGGCGGUUCGUUAAGACAGAUGUGAAAUCCCCGGGCUUAACCUGGGAACUGCAUUUGUGACUGACGGGCUAGAGUAUGGCAGAGGGGGGUAGAAUUCCACGUGUAGCAGUGAAAUGCGUAGAGAUGUGGAGGAAUACCGAUGGCGAAGGCAGCCCCCUGGGCCAAUACUGACGCUCAUGCACGAAAGCGUGGGGAGCAAACAGGAUUAGAUACCCCCGUAGUCCCUGUCUCUUAUAA